ensembl:lncRNA
AUAAGUCUUAUAAAAUAUAUAGAUGUAUGAUAAUUGAGACUGAGCUAACAGAUGAGAGUCCUAGUCAUUGGCCAAGCAGCAUUGUAACUAAUACAAGUAUCUCUGUGUAUUCAUUUGGGCCUAACUCGGGCAGGCGGCUGUCGUUCACACGUGGCAGUGGGGCUCAGGCGGCAUUUGGCAGAAACAUUUAUCAUAACACCAAACACUGGGGGACCCAAUUUCAUUUAAAAAAAAAAAGACUGGAUUUAAAGACACAGAUUAACAACAAUCUGUUAAUAGUAGAUGAUUUCUUUUCUUUUUUAAUUUUUAUUUUUUAUUUAAAUUAGAAACAAGCUUCUUUUACAUGUCAAUCUCAGUUCCCUCUCCCUCCCCUACUUCCCCCCCACUGACCCCCCUAUCGCAACCCCUUUCUGCUCCCCAGGGAAGUUGAGGCCUUCCUUUGCGGAUAUUCAAAGUCUGUUAUAUCAUUUGGAGCAGGGCCUAGACCCUACCCAGUGUGUCUAGGCUGCAAGAGUAUCCUCCUAUGAGGAGAGGGCUCCCAAAGUUCAUUUGUGUACUAGGGGUAAAUACUGACCCACUACCAGUGGCCCCAUAGAUUUUCCAGACCUCCAAACUGACCUCCUCCUUCAGGGGGUCUGAAACAGUCCUAUGCUGGUUUCCCAGCUAUCAGUCUGGGGUUCAUGAGCAACCCCUUGUUCAGGCCAGCUGUUUCUUUGGGUUUCUCCAGCCUGAUCUUGACCCCUUUGCUAAUCACUCCUUCCUCUCUGCAACUGGAUUCCAGAGUUCAGCUCAGUGUUUAGCUGUGAGUGCCUGUGUCUGCUUCUGCUUCCAUCAGCUACUGGAUGAAGGCUCUAAGAUGGCGUAUAAGAUUGGUGCCCGGCCCAAUUGUCAUCAGAGAGGCUUUAUCCAGCAACUGAUGGGAACAGCCAAACUUUAGGUGGAGCUUUGGUAAUCCUGCAGAAGAA